rnacentral:misc_RNA from 1 species
GAUGAAGAACGUAGCGAAAUGCGAUAAGUAAUGUGAAUUGCAGAAUUCAGUGAAUCAUCGAAUCUUUGAACGCACAUUGCGCCCGUCAGUAUUCUGGCGGGCAUGCCUGUUCGAGCGUCAUUACGCCCCUCAAGUCCCCUGUUGACUUGGUGUUGGGGAUCGGCGAGGCUGGUUUUCCAGCACAGCCGUCCCUUAAAUUAAUUGGCGGUCUCGCCGUGGCCCUCCUCUGCGCAGUAGUAAAACACUCGCAACAGGAGCCCGGCGCGGUCCACUGCCGUAAAACCCCCCAACUUUUUAUAGUUGACCUCGAAUCAGGUAGGACUACCCGCUGAACUUAAGCAUAUCAAUAAGCGGAGGA